UCUCUCUCUCCAUCUUCGUUUGCUGCUCGAGAUCCCAGAUCUGGGAUGGACGCCGAAGCAGCACCGUCGGAGCAGCCGCACGCCUCCGCCCGUCGCCGCUCACCGUCUCGCGCUCCGCCGUUGCCAGCGCUCGCCCGCGCUUGGCCGACGCCCAGCUGCGUCUCAGUCUCGGUUCAUGGGUUCCGGGAGCUGCCGGAGCUCGUCCCCGCCGCCGUGAGCCACCGUGCGCCCCCGCCUCAGCUCGCCGGAAGUCCCUCGGCCCUUGUGCACCUCAACCGGCGCCGGAUCCGCCCAUUCUCGGCCUCAAACCGCCAUGGACAGCAGCUGCAGAAAAUGGGUAUGCAGCGGACGUUUGGCCCGUUUUGGCCGCCUUCCCGAGCCCGGAUGCUCGGCCCGCUUUGAGGAAAGUCGAUCCUCGCGUCGUCCCCGUCGUUUUGGUUCGCUCGGCUCGCUAAUCCGGUGAGUUUAGCUCACUAAACCUCGCUUAGAGGGUUAAUUAUGCUUUAGGUGUGCUUAGUUUAUGUUAAGUGUGAUUAGGUGGUUAGUUUGAUUUAUUUAAGUUUGGAUUAUAUUAAUGUGUUUAAUUAGCUUAAAUUGUGUUUAAAUUAAAGUUAAGUGGGUGUUUAUAUUAAUAUAAACCUUGAUGUGACAAAAAUGAAUUUACUUUUGAUUUAUUUAAAUAUCUCGAAAUUAUUGAAUAAUUAAAUAAUAUUUUAAUAUUCGAAAUUAUUAAAAUAUUAUUAUUUAAUUAUUUUCGGAAUAAAUAUAAUUAUUUAUUAAAUUCCGCAAAUUUUGGUCGGGACCCUAAAUUCUCAGAAUUUCGUGCCGGUCGCUACGGUACAUUCGGAUUUUUGAAAUUGAUGAUUGGAUAUUUUUAAAUUGAGUGUGGAUCGUGAAAAAUAUGGAUAUUAUUAUUAUAUUAAUUUUCGGAAUAAAUUUAAUUAUUUAAUAAAUUCUGAAAAUUAUUUGGGAACCUUAUUUGCUCAGAAUUUCGUGCCGAUCGCUGCUGUGCAUUUAGAAUUUGAUAUUGAUGAUUGGUUGUGGCGAAUUGAGUGUGAUUGCGAUAUAUAUGGAUUCUUUAUAAAUUUCUAAGUGUGGGAAUUGAGGAGAGAUGAGGUCGUGAAUUGCCACCUAUUAGAGGUCGCGCCCGAUGGGGCCGUGAUAUGCCACCUGAUAAAGGUCGCGCCCAGUGGGGCCGUUUUAUGCCACCUAUUAGAGGUCGCGCCCGAUGGGGCCGUGAUAUGCCACCUGAUAAAGGUCGCGCCCAGUGGGGCCGUUUUAUGCCACCUGAUAAAGGUCGCGCCCGAUGGGGCCGUGAAUUGCCACCUAUUAGAGGUCGCGCCCAAUGGGGCCGUGAAUUGCCACCUGUUAAAGGUCGCGCCGAGUAGGGCCGUAGUUGAGAGCAAUGAUUGAUUUGCUAGAAUGACAUGUAAUCGGCCGAGUCGAUUGAUCGCUGAGACGAUCCAAGUGGUUGAAUUGUUUUGAUAAUUUGAUUGAGCCAUGGUCGUUUGGUUAUCAUAAUUGCACGUGGUUGGUUUAUAUAAAUUGUGCUAACCUGCAGAUGAAGGCGGAGGCGAGGUAAGUCUUCUGUGUGAUGUGGCUAGGCCACCCGGGGCAUAUUUUCUUUCUAAUAGGGGUUUAGGGGGUUGAACUUGCUGAGACGUGGUCUCAGUGGUUAUUGAAUAACCAUUUCAGGUCCCUGAUGGACGGAGCGGCCAGAUAGCUUUGGUUGGCCUUGAAGAGUUGGAGAAGUGAAGUCAUAAGGAUUGGAGAUCGUGUACGUCCUGUAGGUCGUAGGAUAAUCUCUCUUUAAGAGCCAGUCCUUUGUAGACUUUUGGCCGUAGACCUCUGUUUGUAAUUUCGUUGAUUUACGAAAGUGUUAUGUUGUGAUUUUGUUUUCCUGCUUUUCUAUCCCAAGUUAAAUGUUGUCAGG
rnacentral:lncRNA from 1 species